rnacentral:miRNA from 1 species
UACAUUUUGUUAGGUUGGUGCAAAAGCAAUUGCGGUUUUUGCCAUGAAAAGUAAUGGCAAAAACCGAAUAUUACUUUUGCACCAACCUGAUGUAUC